rnacentral:rRNA from 1 species
GGAAGAGAUAAGUGCUGAAAGCAUCUAAGCACGAAACUUGCCCCGAGAUGAGUUCUCCCUGACCCUUUAAGGGUCCUGAAGGAACGUUGAAGACGACGACGUUGAUAGGCCGGGUGUGUAAGUGCAGCGAUGCGUUGAGCUAACCGGUACUAAUGAACCGUGAGGCUUAACCUU